CGUUACUUGUCGGAGUGCCUUUUACUUUUUGAGUAAAACUAAGGCUGAGAUCGCAUAAGCGGGAUCCGUGAACCUGAAUAGAUUAGUAUCUACGUAGGAAACAAGCAGCUUGGUGGC
rnacentral:ncRNA from 2 species